UGCGUAGGCGGGGCAAUUAGUCAGUGGUGAAAUCCUGCGGCUUAACCGUAGAACUGCCAUUGAUACUGUUGCCCUUGAGUAUAGUUGAAGUGGGCGGAAUAUGUAAUGUAGCGGUGAAAUGCAUAGAUAUUACAUAGAACACCAAUUGCGAAGGCAGCUCACUAAGCUAUCACUGACGCUGAGGCACGAAAGCGUGGGGAGCGAACAGGAUUAGAUACCCUGGUAGUCC
rnacentral:rRNA from 1 species